AAAAUGCAAAGCAAAUAGUCUUAAAUUUUAAAAAAUUUUAUUUCUAAAACUUGACAAAAAUAAAGGGAAACGUACAAGCGAAGAUAUAAAACUGCAGUUACACUUCACAACAUUUAGAUUAAAACAAAACUGAAAUAUGCAAAUGGCAGCUUAUAAUACAAGGU
rnacentral:lncRNA from 1 species